GGAGAGAGAGAGAGAGAGAGAGAGAGAGAGAGAGAGACCAGAGGACAGCCAUGUGAAAGAGAGCCGGGCGUCCACAGAGACACAGCGGGACGUGACGAAGACUGAAUGCCGGGAUGAGAUGUAAUUUAUGGCGAGUGCCGUUUGAUUAUAGGGACAGUGAUGGUGAUACCACUGCUUAGUGGGAGUGUUGGGAUCACUUAGCAUGACAGCGACAAUAUACUUAAUCACACGUGUGGUAAAUGUGACAUUAAAGGUAUGUAGCCUAAAAUAAAAAGGCAGUGUCAGGAUGGAAUUUAGGAGGCUGCCCUCUGUGAAUUUCAUUACUCAGAUCAGAUUUAGUUUUUUCAUUAAGUAUAUCACACGUUGUUUAUUGAGUAACACUGUAAAUUCAACCAAUGUCCCGAUUUAGAUCUAAUAGUGCAUUUAACUCAAUUUGUACUCAUCUUUUAAUUUGACUUGUUUACACUGAUUUUUCUGUUCUUUUUGUUCUCAUAAUUGUUUCAUUUAUAAACAUGAUCUUGAUUUUUCAGAGUUUCGCAGAAUGCUCUGAGGUGUGCAGAAGUUCAAGUUGUGUUCCAAAUCAUCACAGCUGUUAUAUUGGCACAUGAGUGUUACUCCUCUUCACUUUGUUUCUAUCGUCACACAAGUGAAGUUAUGUGUAUGGUUUGUACGAUCCCUCCACUGUGUGUGUGUGUGUGUGUGGGUGGACAUUGUUUAUGCUUGUUUAUGACUCAUAAUUUAAAUCAUAUAGUCAUUUAUAGAGAAGACAAAGUUCUCACCUUGAUAAAUCCCCAGAUUGCUGAAGUAUAAUAGAUGCAUUAUAAAACCAGUCAACCCAUUCUGUGGCACAAUAUAUUAAGUUAAUGCAACGUAUCCGUAUUUAAUUUCUGUCAACUUUAUUAAAAUGGACCACGCUAACAUAAACUAAAAUCUCAUAUGGUUAACAACAAGCUAUAUUAAGUAUAGCACAAUCAUAAUAAACAAGCAACCUCAGCUCACCAUUUUAAA